GAAAAGAAUGCUAAUACCGCAUGACAUAUCGGAACCACAUGGUUCUGAUAUCAAAGAUUUUAUCGCUUGAAGAUGGACUCGCGUCCGAUUAGUUAGUUGGUGAGGUAACGGCUCACCAAGACCGCGAUCGGUAGCCGGACUGAGAGGUUGAACGGCCACAUUGGGACUGAGACACGGCCCAGACUCCUACGGGAGGCAGCAGUGGGGGAUAUUGCGCAAUGGGGGCAACCCUGACGCAGCAACGCCGCGUGAAGGAUGAAGGUUUUCGGAUUGUAAACUUCUUUUAUUAAGGACGAAAAAUGACGGUACUUAAUGAAUAAGCUCCGGCUAACUACGUGCCAGCAGCCGCGGUAAUACGUAGGGAGCAAGCGUUGUCCGGAUUUACUGGGUGUAAAGGGUGCGUAGGCGGCUUUGCAAGUCAGAUGUGAAAUCUAUGGGCUCAACCCAUAAACUGCAUUUGAAACUGUAGAGCUUGAGUGAAGUAGAGGCAGGCGGAAUUCCCCGUGUAGCGGUGAAAUGCGUAGAGAUGGGGAGGAACACCAGUGGCGAAGGCGGCCUGCUGGGCUUUAACUGACGCUGAGGCACGAAAGCGUGGGUAGCAAACAGGAUUAGAUACCCUGGUAGUCCACGCUGUAAACGAUGAUAAGGAGGUGUGGGGGGUCUGACCCCUUCCGUG
rnacentral:rRNA from 1 species